rnacentral:rRNA from 1 species
UACGUAGGGGCCUAGCGUUGUCCGGAAUUAUUGGGCGUAAAGGGCGCGUAGGCGGUCAGCACAAGUCAGUUGUGAAAUCUCCGGGCUUAACUCGGAAAGGUCAACUGAUACUGUGCGACUAGAGUGCGGAAGGGGCAACUGGAAUUCUCGGUGUAGCGGUGAAAUGCGUAGAUAUCGAGAGGAACACCUGCGGCGAAGGCGGGUUGCUGGGCCGACACUGACGCUGAUGCGCGAAAGCCAGGGGAGCGAACGGG